rnacentral:rRNA from 1 species
GAGUUUGAUUAUGGCUCAGGAUGAACGCUGGCGGCGUGCUUAACACAUGCAAGUCGAACGAAGCUUAUAUAGGAAGAUCUUCGGAGCGGAACAUAUAAGACUUAGUGGCGGACGGGUGAGUAACGCGUGGGUAACCUGCCUUGUAGAGGGGGAUAACAGUGGGAAACUACUGCUAAUACCGCAUAAGACCACAGUAUCGCAUGAUACAGGGGUAAAAGAUUUAUCGCUACAAGAUGGACCCGCGUCUGAUUAGCUAGUUGGUGGGGUAAAGGCCUACCAAGGCGACGAUCAGUAGCCGACCUGAGAGGGUGACCGGCCACAUUGGGACUGAGACACGGCCCAAACUCCUACGGGAGGCAGCAGUGGGGAAUAUUGGACAAUGGGCGAAAGCCUGAUCCAGCGACGCCGCGUGAGUGAAGAAGUAUUUCGGUAUGUAAAGCUCUAUCAGCAGGGAAGAAAAUGACG